rnacentral:piRNA from 1 species
CACCUACAGGGAGGAACUCGAGCCG